rnacentral:rRNA from 1 species
GGCCUAUACUGGCAGGUCGAACGCGUUGGCCCAAUUGAUUGAUGGUGCUUGCACCUGAUUGAUUUUGGUCGCCAACGAGUGGCGGACGGGUGAGUAACACGUAGGUAACCUGCCCAGAAGCGGGGGACAACAUUUGGAAACAGAUGCUAAUACCGCAUAACAGCGUUGUUCGCAUGAACAACGCUUAAAAGAUGGCUUCUCGCUAUCACUUCUGGAUGGACCUGCGGUGCAUUAGCUUGUUGGUGGGGUAACGGCCUACCAAGGCGAUGAUGCAUAGCCGAGUUGAGAGACUGAUCGGCCACAAUGGGACUGAGACACGGCCCAUACUCCUACGGGAGGCAGCAGUAGGGAAUCUUCCACAAUGGGCGCAAGCCUGAUGGAGCAACACCGCGUGAGUGAAGAAGGGUUUCGGCUCGUAAAGCUCUGUUGUUAAAGAAGAACACGUAUGAGAGUAACUGUUCAUACGUUGACGGUAUUUAACCAGAAAGUCACGGCUAACUACGUGCCAGCAGCCGCGGUAAUACGUAGGUGGCAAGCGUUAUCCGGAUUUAUUGGGCGUAAAGAGAGUGCAGGCGGUUUUCUAAGUCUGAUGUGAAAGCCUUCGGCUUAACCGGAGAAGUGCAUCGGAAACUGGAUAACUUGAGUGCAGAAGAGGGUAGUGGAACUCCAUGUGUAGCGGUGGAAUGCGUAGAUAUAUGGAAGAACACCAGUGGCGAAGGCGGCUACCUGGUCUGCAACUGACGCUGAGACUCGAAAGCAUGGGUAGCGAACAGGAUUAGAUACCCUGGUAGUCCAUGCCGUAAACGAUGAGUGCUAGGUGUUGGAGGGUUUCCGCCCUUCAGUGCCGGAGCUAACGCAUUAAGCACUCCGCCUGGGGAGUACGACCGCAAGGUUGAAACUCAAAGGAAUUGACGGGGGCCCGCACAAGCGGUGGAGCAUGUGGUUUAAUUCGAAGCUACGCGAAGAACCUUACCAGGUCUUGACAUCUUGCGCCAACCCUAGAGAUAGGGCGUUUCCUUCGGGAACGCAAUGACAGGUGGUGCAUGGUCGUCGUCAGCUCGUGUCGUGAGAUGUUGGGUUAAGUCCCGCAACGAGCGCAACCCUUGUUACUAGUUGCCAGCAUUAAGUUGGGCACUCUAGUGAGACUGCCGGUGACAAACCGGAGGAAGGUGGGGACGACGUCAGAUCAUCAUGCCCCUUAUGACCUGGGCUACACACGUGCUACAAUGGACGGUACAACGAGUCGCGAACUCGCGAGGGCAAGCAAAUCUCUUAAAACCGUUCUCAGUUCGGACUGCAGGCUGCAACUCGCCUGCACGAAGUCGGAAUCGCUAGUAAUCGCGGAUCAGCAUGCCGCGGUGAAUACGUUCCCGGGCCUUGUACACACCGCCCGUCACACCAUGAGAGUUUGUAACACCCAAAGUCGGUGGGGUAACCUUUUAGGAGCCAGCCCGUCCG